GAGUUUGAUCGUGGCUCAGAUUGAACGCUGGCGGCAUGCCUUACACAUGCAAGUCGAACGGCAGCACGGGAGCUUGCUCCUGGUGGCGAGUGGCGAACGGGUGAGUAAUGCAUCGGAACGUAUCCUGGAGUGGGGGAUAACGUAGCGAAAGUUACGCUAAUACCGCAUAUUCUGUGAGCAGGAAAGCGGGGGACCUUCGGGCCUCGCGCUCUUGGAGCGGCCGAUGUCGGAUUAGCUAGUUGGUGAGGUAAAGGCUCACCAAGGCGACGAUCCGUAGCAGGUCUGAGAGGAUGAUCUGCCACACUGGAACUGAGACACGGUCCAGACUCCUACGGGAGGCAGCAGUGGGGAAUUUUGGACAAUGGGGGCAACCCUGAUCCAGCCAUGCCGCGUGAGUGAAGAAGGCCUCGGUUGUAAGUACGUCUUCGUCG
rnacentral:rRNA from 2 species